GCGGGUAUCGUAUAGCGGUAUUACCCAAUCUUCCCAAGAUUGUGAGAGGGGUUCGACUCCCCUUACCCGCU
rnacentral:tRNA from 1 species